AGAACUUCAAAGUCAUAACCAAUACAACAACUACAACGAACAACACCACUAUGCCUAAGAAUUGUAUCAUACAUUUUUGGGUCCUCACUUCAGCUUCCAAUUUUUCAAUCCUCCAGGCUAAAUUGACUCUCACUUGCUCAUUGUCAACUACAGUUGCAUCCACUCUUCCUUCAUGUUCCUCUUCUUCUUCUACAUCAUCAGCCCAGAGAAAAAAUCCACACCAUGUUUUUUUCCUAGUCUGAAUAUGAGAUAUGAUAAGAAGUAAAGAACAGAAAAUCACUAAACAAU
rnacentral:lncRNA from 1 species